UACGGAGGGUGCAAGCGUUAUCCGGAUUCACUGGGUUUAAAGGGUGCGUAGGUGGGCAGGUAAGUCAGUGGUGAAAUCUCCAAGCUUAACUUGGAACUGCCGUUGAUACUAUAAAUCUUGAAUGUUGUGGAGGUGAGCGGAAUAUGUCAUGUAGCGGUGAAAUGCUUAGAUAUGACAUAGAACACCAAUUGCGAAGGCAGCUCACUACACAAAGAUUGACACUGAGGCACGAAAGCGUGGGGAUCAAACAG
rnacentral:rRNA from 1 species